rnacentral:rRNA from 1 species
UGCAGUCGAACGGCACAUGAUCUAGCUUGCUAAAUUGAUGGCGAGUGGCGAACGGGUGAGUAAUACAUCGGAACGUGCCCUGUAGUGGGGGAUAACUAGUCGAAAGAUUAGCUAAUACCGCAUACGACCUGAGGGUGAAAGUGGGGGACCGCAAGGCCUCAUGCUAUAGGAGCGGCCGAUGUCUGAUUAGCUAGUUGGUGAGGUAAAGGCUCACCAAGGCGACGAUCAGUAGCUGGUCUGAGAGGACGAUCAGCCACACUGGGACUGAGACACGGCCCAGACUCCUACGGGAGGCAGCAGUGGGGAAUUUUGGACAAUGGGGGCAACCCUGAUCCAGCAAUGCCGCGUGUGUGAAGAAGGCCUUCGGGUUGUAAAGCACUUUUGUCCGGAAAGAAAUCGCACUUACUAAUAUUAGGUGUGGAUGACGGUACCGGAAGAAUAAGGACCGGCUAACUACGUGCCAGCAGCCGCGGUAAUACGUAGGGUCCAAGCGUUAAUCGGAAUUACUGGGCGUAAAGCGUGCGCAGGCGGUUGUGCAAGACCGAUGUGAAAUCCCCGGGCUUAACCUGGGAAUUGCAUUGGUGACUGCACGGCUAGAGUGUGUCAGAGGGGGGUAGAAUUCCACGUGUAGCAGUGAAAUGCGUAGAGAUGUGGAGGAAUACCGAUGGCGAAGGCAGCCCCCUGGGAUAACACUGACGCUCAUGCACGAAAGCGUGGGGAGCAAACAGGAUUAGAUACCCUGGUAGCCCACGCCCUAAACGAUGUCAACUAGUUGUUGGGGAUUCAUUUCCUUAGUAACGUAGCUAACGCGUGAAGUUGACCGCCUGGGGAGUACGGUCGCAAGAUUAAAACUCAAAGGAAUUGACGGGGACCCGCACAAGCGGUGGAUGAUGUGGAUUAAUUCGAUGCAACGCGAAAAACCUUACCUACCCUUGACAUGCCACUAACGAAGCAGAGAUGCAUUAGGUGCUCGAAAGAGAAAGUGGACACAGGUGCUGCAUGGCUGUCGUCAGCUCGUGUCGUGAGAUGUUGGGUUAAGUCCCGCAACGAGCGCAACCCUUGUCUCUAGUUGCUACGAAAGGGCACUCUAGAGAGACUGCCGGUGACAAACCGGAGGAAGGUGGGGAUGACGUCAAGUCCUCAUGGCCCUUAUGGGUAGGGCUUCACACGUCAUACAAUGGUGCAUACAGAGGGUUGCCAAGCCGCGAGGUGGAGCUAAUCCCAGAAAAUGCAUCGUAGUCCGGAUCGUAGUCUGCAACUCGACUACGUGAGGCGGAAUCG